GAUAUUUUUUCUUAAUGUGUUCUAUUCCAGUGAUGUCUUGGUUCGUGUCCCCACUGCUUUCUGGAAUUAUGUCUGGAAUUUUAUUCUUCCUAGUUCGUGCAUUCAUCCUCCAUAAGGCAGAUCCAGUUCCUAAUGGUUUGCGAGCUUUGCCAGUUUUCUAUGCCUGCACAGUUGGAAUAAAUCUCUUUUCCAUCAUGUAUACUGGAGCACCGUUGCUGGGCUUUGACAAACUUCCUCUGUGGGGUACCAUCCUCAUCUCGGUGGGAUGUGCAGUUUUCUGUGCCCUUAUCGUCUGGUUCUUUGUAUGUCCCAGGAUGAAGAGAAAAAUUGAACGAGAAAUAAAGUGUAGUCCUUCUGAAAGCCCCUUAAUGGAAAAAAAGAAUAGCUUGAAAGAAGACCAUGAAGAAACAAAGUUGUCUGUCGGUGAUAUUGAAAACAGGAAUCCUGUUUCUGAGGUAGGGCCUGCCACUGUGCCCCUCCAGGCUGUGGUGGAGGAGAGAACAGUUUCAUUCAAACUUGGAGAUUUGGAGGAAGCUCCAGAGAGAGAGAGGCUUCCCAGCGUGGACUUGAAAGAGGAAACCAGCAUAGAUAGCACCGUGAAUGGUGCAGUGCAGUUGCCUAAUGGGAACCUUGUCCAGUUCAGUCAAGCCGUCAGCAACCAAAUAAACUCCAGUGGCCACUACCAGUAUCAC
rnacentral:sRNA from 1 species